rnacentral:rRNA from 1 species
GACGAACGCUGGCGGCGUGCUUAACACAUGCAAGUCGAGCGGAAAGGCCCUUCGGGGUACUCGAGCGCCGAACGGGUGCGUGACACGUUAGUAACCUGCCCCAGACUUUGGGAUUACCCUCGCAAACGGGGGCUAAUACCGGAUACGACACAGCUUCUCAUGUGGUCUGUGGGGAUAGUUUUGCGGUUUGGGAUGGGCUCGCGGCCUAUCAGUUUGUUGGUGGGGUAGUGGCCUACCAAGGCGACGACGGGGAGCCGGCCUGAGAGGGCGACCGGCCACACUGGGACUGAGACACGGCCCAGACUCCUACGGGAGGCAGCAGUGGGGAAUAUUGCACAAUGGGCGGAAGCCUGAUGCAGCGACGCCGCGUGCGGGAUGACGGCCUUCGGGUUGUAAACCUCUUUCAGCAGGGACGAAGCGUAAGUGACGGUACCUGCAGAAGAAGCGCCGGCCAACUACGUG